GUAAGGACCUUGUUAAAACGCAGUUUCUGACUCAGUAGUGUGAAUGGGGCCAGAAUGCUGCAUUUCUAACACUCUCCCAGAUGGUGCCAAUGUUCCUCAUCCACAGACCACAGCUGAAGUAGCAACUAUGUAAACCUCAGGCUACUCAUCACAGUGCAGAGUGAUUUCACCUAAAGGCACAACAGCAGCUGAUUGCCACAAUACAAACAAGAGCCGCCACUUACUGACAGCAGCUACGUGCCAGGUAAGUCAAAUGAGGAAGAACACCUUCAGUGUGGGGGAGAAAUGGGUCUUCAACGUCAUCUUAGACCAGUGGCUCUCAAAGUAUAUAACAGCAGCGUCAACAUCAGCAUUAUCUGGGAACGUGUUGGAGAUGUGAAUUCUUGGGUUCCACUUCAGACAACGAAUCAGAAAUUCUGGGGGGAAGCCUCAUUUCUGUUCACCAGGCCUUUCGAUGAUUUAAUCAGGCCCUCCAGGAUUAUCUAGGAUAAUAUUCCUUACUUAAAUCCAACUGAAUAUGAGUUUUCAUACAUCUACAAAUACCCUCAAAGCAAAAUCUAAAUUAGUACUUAAAGGAAUAUUUGUGGACUGUAGCCUGGUCAAGUUGACACAUAAAGUUGACCAUCAUGGAGCGUCAGAAGAAAUAUCUCUCUGAUCGCCCUUGGAAAAAUUGUACUGGUACCUGCUUAUGAGGCUCCCAGUGGUACAGGUGAGCAAGAAAAUCACUUCCUGUUUGGCACAAUGAGCGGUAAAAAAUGAAUUCAGCAAGUCCAGGUUGUCCAUAUGCUGAAGACUCUAUAGAAAGAUGUGACCCUUUUCCUAGCUCCUGAGAGAUAACCCUUGUGCCAUGGAGUGAAUGUUUGCAUCUCACAAAAUUCAUAUGUUGAAACCCUGAUCUCAUUAUGGUGGUAUUUGAAGAGAUGGCCUUUGGGAGAUAAUUAGGUCAUGAGGGUGGAGCCCUUAUGAUGAGAUUAGUGCCUUUAUAAGAAGAAACAUUGUUGAGAGAUUCCUUCCUUUCUCUUUGCUCUCUGCAAUGUGAUGAAACACAAAGAAGACAGCUGUCUGCUCACCAAGAAGAGGACCCUCAUCAGACACUGGAUCUACUGGCAUCUUGAUCUUGGAUUUUCUAGCCUCUUUAACUGUGAGAAAUAAAAUGUUUAAG
rnacentral:lncRNA from 1 species